rnacentral:rRNA from 1 species
AUUGAACGCUGGCGGCAGGCCUAACACAUGCAAGUCGAACGAGUGGCGGACGGGUGAGAAAUGUCUGGGAAACCGCCUGAUGGAGGGGGAUAACCACUGGAAACGGUAUCUAAUCCCGCAUACCAUCAGAUGCCCCUAUAUGGGUUUGGCUUGUUGGUGGGGUAACGGCUCACCAAGGCGACGACCCCUAGCUGGUCUGAGAGGAUGACCAGCCACACUGGAACUGAGACACGGUCCAGACUCCUACGGGAGGCAGCAGUGGGGAAUAUUGCACAAUGGGCGCAAGCCUGAUGCAGCCAUGCCGCGUGUAUGAAGAAGGCCUUCGGGUUGUAAAGUACUUUCAGCGGGGAGGCGUUACCCGCAGAAGAAGCACCGGCUAACUCCGUGCCAGCAGCCGCGGUAAUUC